UGAUUCCGUCCUGCGUGGCUGUUCUGUGCAACAGUGCUGAUUUAUUGCCGUCCUCUCUCACUUAAACGUGAGCCACCAACCAAUGGAAGAUUCGAUGGAUAUGGACAUGAGCCCCCUGCGGCCUCAAAAUUACCUUUUCGGUUGUGAACUGAAAGUUGACAAAGAUUAUCACUUUAAGGUGGAUAAUGAUGAGAAUGAGCACCAGUUAUCUUUAAGAACGGUCAGUUUAGGGGCUGGUGCAAAGGAUGAAUUGCACAUUGUUGAAGCAGAAGCAAUGAAUUAUGAGGGCAGCCCAAUUAAAGUAACACUGGCAACUUUGAAAAUGUCUGUACAGCCAACGGUUUCGCUUGGGGGCUUUGAAAUAACACCACCUGUCGUCUUACGAUUGAAGUGUGGCUCAGGGCCUGUGCAUAUAAGUGGACAACACUUAGUAGCUGUGGAGGAAGAUGCAGAGUCUGAUGAUGAAGAGGAGGAGGAUGUGAAACUCUUAAGUGUAUCAGGAAAGAGAUCUGCCCCUGCAGGUGGUAACAAAAUUCCACAGAAAAAGGUGAAACUUGCCACUGAUGAAGAGGAUGACGAUGAUGAUGAUGACGAUGAUGAAGAUGAAGAUGAUGAUGAUGACGAGUUUGAUGAUGAUGAGGCUGAAGAAAAAGCACCAGUGAAGAAAUCUAUAAGGGAUACUCCAGCCAAAAAUGCACAAAAAUCAAACCAGAAUGGAAAAGACUCAAAACCGUCCAACUCCACGAUCAAAAGGACAAGAAUCUUUCAAAAAACAGGAAAAAACUCCCAAAACUCCAAAAGGACCUAGUUCUGUAGAAGACAUUAAAGCAAAAAUGCAAGCAAGUAUAGAAAAAGGUGGUUCUCUUCCCAAAGUGGAAGCCAAAUUCAUCAAUUAUGUGAAGAAUUGCUUCCGGAUGACAGACCAGGAGGCUAUUCAAGAUCUCUGGCAGUGGAGGAAGUCUCUUUAA